CUGCCUCUCACCUUUGAUGGGAAGGUAAUGAGCAGCCACUUAGCUCUGUGUGCACAAGGAUGAUGGUCCUGAGUCUCCUGGGAUGGCUAGCUAAAUCUGGAAGUUCCUUGUUGCUGGGAAUCUCCAAUGUGGAACCCUAAUGUGGAACGUUGAGGAUGGCUGCUGUUCGCUGCAUUAUCUACUCAAACCUUUAAAAGCUGGAUCCUGGCCACGGGUCUGACAUUGCCCUUUCGCCUCAAGCCGCGCUGGCAGCAGAAGAAGGACCCUUUGUGCUCAGCUCUGGAAUCCCUGAAUCCCGUCGUCUUCCCUAACCCUUACUGCUGCCAUGGGUACUUCUCAGGGAGUCUUAUUAAGGAAUUUGGGGCCUGCCCCCACGAGAUGAAGAUGAGGAUCAACUUUAUCUUCUAUUAGAUGCAGAGUCUCUGGUCUGAUUCCUCAGUCGGCCAUCUUGAAAGCCUGACCGUGCAGAACCCCUGAAGCUCUCCUGGGAGGAACCAUCACCACCCUCGGAAAGGCCACCUCAACUUGGAGAAGAUGACCAAGGUUCAUCAGUGGAUGUGUCCUGUCUCGUGGAAACCCUCACAGUACUUCUCUGGGAGCUCGAGGAUGGCCUGGUGCCUGCCCUGCAGCAGGGUAACACCCCCUAUGUCCAUGGGGUUUUGUAUUUGUACUAAGAUUUGGCCAGUACCCAGAAGGCUCUGGAGCUGCUGGGUAAAA